UACGUAGGGUGCAAGCGUUAAUCGGAAUUACUGGGCGUAAAGCGUGCGCAGGCGGUUUUGUAAGUCUGUCGUGAAAUCCCCGGGCUCAACCCGGGAACUGCGUCCGAUACUGGAGGGCUCGAAUCCGGGAGAGGGAUGUGGAAUUCCAGGUGUAGCGGUGAAAUGCGUAGAUAUCUGGAGGAACACCGGUGGCGAAGGCGGCAUCCUGGACCGGUAUUGACGCUGAGGCGCGAAAGCCAGGGGAGCAAACGGG
rnacentral:rRNA from 1 species